AUUGAACGCUGGCGGAAUGCUUUACACAUGCAAGUCGAACGGCAGCACGGGUGCUUGCACCUGGUGGCGAGUGGCGAACGGGUGAGUAAUACAUCGGAACGUACCCUGACGUGGGGGAUAACGUAGCGAAAGUUACGCUAAUACCGCAAACGUCCUGAGGGAGAAAGCAGGGGAUCGUAAGACCUUGCGCGUUAGGAGCGGCCGAUGGCGGAUUAGCUAGUUGGUAGGGUAAAGGCCUACCAAGGCGACGAUCCGUAGCGGGUCUGAGAGGACGAGCCGCCACUCUGGAACUGAGACACGGUCCAGACUCCUACGGGAGGCAGCAGUGGGGAAUUUUGGACAAUGGGCGAAAGCCUGAUCCAGCCAUUCCGCGUGAGUGAAGGAGGCCUUCGGGUUGUAAAGCCCUUUCGGCAGGGAAGAAACGGUUUUGGAUAAUACCCAGAACUAAUGACGGUACCUGAAGAAGAAGCACCGGCUAACUACGUGCCAGCAGCCGCGGUAA
rnacentral:rRNA from 1 species